UAAACAACAAAAAAACCUUUCUUUUCUAAUUUCAUUUCCAGCCCCCAAUUUUAAAAAGAACAGAAAGUGCGGAGAUGGGCUUCUUAGCCUCGUUUUGAGGCACAUUCGAAGGCCAUGCCUUCUCAACCCUAAAGAAAUCGAAAGAAAGGUCCCCCCUCUCCCCGAUCCGACUUUGGCGAUUGGAGAAGAGAUCUCCAGCGAUGAGUCCGUGGGAAGAUCAAGGCGAUGGAACGGGAGCACGUGGUGGUGCUGCCAUGGCAGCUGGUGGCAGAGGGGAGGGGGUUGUAUGAUGGUUUCAUCACUAUCAUCUCGGAUAGGUUGCAUCACUUUUGCAAGUUCCUCCAUGAAGAAGACCAAGCCAAUUGGUUUAGCAAAUGUUAAGUAGUGGUUAAUAGCGUUCCGCAAUGAAAAAAAGAAGACCAAGCCAAUUGGUUUAGUAAAUGUGAAGUAGUGGUUAAUUGCAUAAGCAUUUUAACACACGACUUGCUUGUUUAUUAGACUCCAAAAUUUUUAUUUGUCUUCUUUUUUUUAAGUUAAUUGUAAGUCAGUAUUAAGAAAGUGUAAGUGACUGUCUUGGCAAUUUUGAGAAGAAUCCUCCUAAUGCUCUUGCACAUGUCCUCUCUCUCUCUCUAAGAAAAUCCUGGUUACCUCUCCCCCACAAUAUGGUUAAAUGUUAGUAAUUAUGUAACAUCGGGUUGAUUGAAUUAGUUUUUUUUUAAGGGGGUAUAUGAUGGUUUCAUCCUUAUCUUUUGCAGGUUCUUCCAUGAAAACAAGAAGACCAAGCCAAUUGGUUUAGUAAAUGUGAUGUAGUGGUUAAUUGUAUAAGCAUUUUAACACAAGUCUUACUUUUUUAUAAGACUCAAAAAUUGUUACUUGUCUCUUCUUUUUAAGCAAAUUGUAAGCUGUUAUUAUGAAAGUAUAAGUCACUCUCUUGGUAGAAGAA